UACGUAGGCAGCGAGCGUUGUCCGGAAUCAUUGGGCGUAAAGCGCGCGUAGGCGGCCAGAUAAGUCCGGUGUGAAAGUCACAGGCUCAACCUGUGAAUGCCGCUGGAAACUGUCUGGCUCGAGUCCGGGAGGGGCGAGUGGAAUUCCUGGUGCAGCGGUGAAAUGCGCAGAUAUCAGGAGGAACACCGAUGGCGAAGGCAGGUCUCUGGGCAUUAACUGACGCUGAGGAGCGAAAGCAUGGGGAGCGAACAGG
rnacentral:rRNA from 1 species